CCUGGGCUUGCAGCCAUGUGCGGCCUGCCAGCAUUCCCCGCCCAGUCAGGCAGGUGUAAUGCUCUCUCCCCGGGCGCUACCAGCAAACGAUGCUCUCAGGGUGGGUGCAGGGCCUCAGCUGCAGGGGCCCCUCACUGCUCCAGUCCCCACCUCAUCUGCUCCCAGGGGUUGUGCGGCAGUGCAGUGCAGGCAGCAUGGUGCUGAAUGGGCCCAGUGCACGGCAGGCCAGGCCUUGUCUCACUACGCUGCCUGGCGUGGCCAUUGGAGCCGGAGGACAGAGGCGGGGCUGGUGCAAGUCACUUACCAGCAAUUGCUCGGCCACACGAGGGGUGAAAAGGUCAGCGGCAGCUCCCCUUCCCAGCAUGCUGCCUUCUGGCUGGAGUCACACAUGCCUGCAGGCUGCAGUGUCACAGGGCCAGAGAGGCCGGCUCACGUGGAGAAUAUGGCACGGCUCUGCCAGCAGCAUGGGAUCCCCCUCUGGGUGGCCCCGAUCCUGGAACAAGCAGCAACAAUGAAGUGCGAUAAGAGCAGGAGGCACAAGGCAUACAGACUCAUCCGUAGGCGGCUGGUGAGAGCAAAGGAGGUGGUACACGUGACGCUCGAAGACCUGCACCUGCUCAAUCACCCCGAGGCAUGGAGUGCACAGCCCUGUCUGCAAUAGAACUUCUUCAGGCAUCAGAGCAUUUACCGGAACAGGAUGGAAUGAGGCAGCAGCAAGAGAGUUAUUUUCACCCUGCCCAGGAAUGACGUACAUAGGGCUCCAGCUACGUCCCUCCCUCAAAACAGUCCUCCCAACUCACCCCAUUACAGCCAAGUCUCACUGGCAGGUCUCGAGCUCUCUCCCCAGGAGCCCACCCUAUGAGCAAAAACACCUUUGUACCCACUUGCAGCCACCCCCCCUUUCUCCAAAGGGCAAACUGCUGAGUGAGUUCCCAUUUCUCUUACCUGUCACUGUGGCCCUGGCUUGAUCUUCCACCCAGCUGCUAUUCCCCUAGCGAGAUCUGCUGCCAGAGGAAAGCAGCACAGCUUGCAUCCUUCACUCCACCGUGGAAAGAGAAGUUCUUGACUGGUCCCAAAAGUGACAACAGAAGAGCUGCAUGGAGGUGGGGGUGAAUGCUUUUCCAGCAGCCCAAACCCAGGGGGCAGAAUAGCCCCAGCAGAUGUACACUAUACCCUUUCCACUGAUACAGGAGGUGAGGUAGGUCUGAGGCAGAGCCUUAAGCUGUGAACGCUCAUUUCCACUGUCCUGGUCUAGGAAUUGGUACAGCUAUGCUCUCAGGGGUGUGAAAAGUCCGCUCCCCGGAAAGACAGCGUUAUACUGACCUAACCUCCGAUGUAGUCAGCACUAGGUCACGAGAAGAAGUCUUCUGUUGACCUAGCUACUGCCUCUCAGAGAUAGAUUACCGACGCUGAUGAGAGACACCCUUCCGGUAGCAUGGGUAGCACCCAGGGAGUGCAUCCAUUGCCAGCUGUUAGUCACAGAGCGACCAUGGGCAAGUCAUUUCACCUUCUGUGUUUGUUUCCACAACCACACUUAUCUGACAAAAGUAGUUCAUGCUUUGAGAGCCUUGUAUGAAAAAUGCUGGAGAAGUGCAGUGCUAAGUAUUCCCUACUCAUUACUGUUCUGACAAGAGGAUGUGUUGUGAAUUUCAUUUUUGUUAAUAAAGGCUUU
ensembl:lncRNA